CAAGCAGCACAUGUCAUUCCCGUCACAGUCAAUUGAAUUCUCCUCAUACCCUCUUCGACUUUUACAAAAUUAUCGCUGUUUCCGUCUUCAUAUGAGUCCAAAAGCCGCACCUCCUCCAUGUCACCGGAAUCUUCGAUGGUCGCCGGCGGUACUCUACCACCGGCGACCGCUGUCAGCUGCAGGUGCCUCCCGCUCGGCGCCAUUGACUUGGGCACACCGAGCCGAGAUGGAUACGGCAAAAUUUCUCUCUCUAUAAUCUUAAAAUGUAGAUUUAUAAAGACAGAGAGAAGGAAAGAGGAAAAGAAAAG
rnacentral:lncRNA from 1 species